rnacentral:rRNA from 1 species
UACGUAGGGUGCGAGCGUUGUCCGGAAUUACUGGGCGUAAAGAGCUUGUAGGUGGUUUGUCGCGUUGUUCGUGAAAUCUCACGGCUUAACUGUGGGCGUGCGGGCGAUACGGGCAGACUGGAGUACUGCAGGGGAGACUGGAAUUCCUGGUGUAGCGGUGGAAUGCGCAGAUAUCAGGAGGAACACCGGUGGCGAAGGCGGGUCUCUGGGCAGUAACUGACGCUGAGGAGCGAAAGCGUGGGGAGCGAACAGG